GGACGGCACAUUAUCCUUGUAACGGGGAUCCAGCAGGGUGGCCACCCAGUAAUCAGCACAAGUUAGAAUGUGGGCAACUCGGCAGUUGUUGCGCAGGCACUUGGUGACUCUAGAUAAUCUCGGGCCGAUCGCACGUCCCCGUGACAGCGACGACACAUUUGGAUGUCUGCCCUAUUAACUUUCGAUGUUACUUUCUUCGCCUACCAUGGUGACCACGGGUAACGGGGAAUCAGGGUUUGAUUCCGGAG